GCCUAACACAUGCAAGUCGAGCGGUAGAGAGAAGCUUGCUUCUCUUGAGAGCGGCGGACGGGUGAGUAAUACCUAGGAAUCUGCCUGAUAGUGGGGGAUAACGUUCGGAAACGGACGCUAAUACCGCAUACGUCCUACGGGAGAAAGCAGGGGACCUUCGGGCCUUGCGCUAUCAGAUGAGCCUAGGUCGGAUUAGCUAGUUGGUGAGGUAAUGGCUCACCAAGGCUACGAUCCGUAACUGGUCUGAGAGGAUGAUCAGUCACACUGGAACUGAGACACGGUCCAGACUCCUACGGGAGGCAGCAGUGGGGAAUAUUGGACAAUGGGCGAAAGCCUGAUCCAGCCAUGCCGCGUGUGUGAAGAAGGUCUUCGGAUUGUAAAGCACUUUAAGUUGGGAGGAAGGGCAGUUACCUAAUACGUGAUUGUCUUGACGUUACCGACAGAAUAAGCACCGGCUAACUCUGUGCCAGCAGCCGCGGUAAUACAGAGGGUGCAAGCGUUAAUCGGAAUUACUGGGCGUAAAGCGCGCGUAGGUGGUUUGUUAAGUUGAAUGUGAAAUCCCCGGGCUCAACCUGGGAACUGCAUCCAAAACUGGCAAGCUAGAGUAUGGUAGAGGGUAGUGGAAUUUCCUGUGUAGCGGUGAAAUGCGUAGAUAUAGGAAGGAACACCAGUGGCGAAGGCGACUACCUGGACUGAUACUGACACUGAGGUGCGAAAGCGUGGGGAGCAAACAGGAUUAGAUAC
rnacentral:rRNA from 1 species